rnacentral:rRNA from 1 species
GCACCCCCGUCAGGCGGGGCUACCCGCUGAGUUUAAGCAUAUCAAUAA